UAAGCUGACGAGUGGCGAACGGGUGAGUAAUGUAUGGGAACGUGCCCAGUCGUGGGGGAUAACUGCUCGAAAGAGCAGCUAAUACCGCAUACGACCUGAGGGUGAAAGCGGGGGAUCGCAAGACCUCGCGCGAUUGGAGCGGCCGAUAUCAGAUUAGGUAGUUGGUGGGGUAAAGGCUCACCAAGCCAACGAUCUGUAGCUGGUCUGAGAGGACGACCAGCCACACUGGGACUGAGACACGGCCCAGACUCCUACGGGAGGCAGCAGUGGGGAAUUUUGGACAAUGGGCGCAAGCCUGAUCCAGCCAUGCCGCGUGCGGGAAGAAGGCCUUCGGGUUGUAAACCGCUUUUGUCAGGGAAGAAAAGGUUCUGGCUAAUACCUGGGACUCAUGACGGUACCUGAAGAAUAAGCACCGGCUAACUACGUGCCAGCAGCCGCGGUAAUACGUAGGGUGCAAGCGUUAAUCGGAAUUACUGGGCGUAAAGCGUGCGCAGGCGGUUAUGCAAGACAGAGGUGAAAUCCCCGGGCUCAACCUGGGAACUGCCUUUGUGACUGCAUAGCUAGAGUGCGGCAGAGGGGGAUGGAAUUCCGCGUGUAGCAGUGAAAUGCGUAGAUAUGCGGAGGACACCGAUGGCGAAGGCAAUCCCCUGGGCCUGCACUGACGCUCAUG
rnacentral:rRNA from 1 species